rnacentral:rRNA from 1 species
GACGAACGCUGGCGGCGUGCUUAACACAUGCAAGUCGAACGGAAAGGCCCUAAGUUUGUGCUGUGCUCGAUUGGCGAACGGGUGAGUAACACGUAAGUAACCUGCCCUUCACUUUCGGAUAACUUCAGGAAACUGGGCCUAAUACCGUAUAGGAGCUCCUCCUCCAUGGUGGGCAGUGGAAAGUUUCGUCUGGUGGGGAUGGACUGGCGGCUUAUCAGCUAGUUGGUGGGCUAGUGGGUUACCAACGCUUUGACAGGUAGCCGGCCUGAGAGGGUGAGCGGCCACAUUGAGACUGAGGUACGGCCGAGACUCCUACUGUAGGCAGCAGUGGGGAAUAUUGCACAAUGGGCGGAAGCCGGAUGCAGCAACGCCGCGUGCUGGAUGACGGCCUUCUUGUUGUAAACCGCUUUCGCCUUUGAAGACGCGUGAGUGACGGUAAUGGGUAAAGAAGCAACGGGUAAAUACGUU